GGCGGGUCUGGGUCUGGAUUACG
rnacentral:miRNA from 12 species